rnacentral:misc_RNA from 1 species
UCCGGCUUAUCACCGGCGGUUUCUUUAGAGUGCCCAACUAAAUGAUGGCAACUAAAGACGAGGGUUGCGCUCGUUGCGGGACUUAACCCAACAUCUCACGACACGAGCUGACGACAGCCAUGCACCACCUGUUUGGAGCCCAAAAGGACCUCACAUCUCUGUGAGUUUUCUCCAAAUGUCAAACCCAGGUAAGGUUCUUCGCGUUGCAUCGAAUUAAACCACAUGCUCCGCUGCUUGUGCGGGCCCCCGUCGAUUCCUUUGAGUUUUAGCCUUGCGGCCGUACUCCCCAGGCGGGGCACUUAACGCGUUAGCUUCGGCACGGAGGGAGUCGACACCCCCCACACCUAGUGCCCAUCGUUUACAGCGUGGACUAC